rnacentral:sRNA from 1 species
AGUAUUUAUCUAUGACUGACCCUUCUCGUGCACAGACGGUUGACACUGAAAUUGCUAAGCACUGUGCAUAUAGCCUCCCUGGUGUGGCCUUGACACUCGGAAGACAGAAUUGGCACUGCCUGAGAGAGACGUAUGAGACUCUGGCCUCAGACAUGCAGUGGAAAGUUCGACGAACUCUAGCAUUCUCCAUCCACGAGCUUGCAGUUAUUCUUGGAGAUCAGUUGACAGCUGCAGAUCUGGUUCCAAUUUUUAAUGGAUUUUUAAAAGACCUCGAUGAAGUCAGGAUAGGUGUUCUUAAACACUUGCAUGAUUUUCUGAAGGUAACUUUUAAAUUCUUUUGCAUAAAAACACAACAAAAUUCUGCUGUAAUCUAAAUCUUUAUCUUCUGCUAUCACCAAGAGAGGUUUCUUUGUGUUUCUAUGUAAGAAAACACAGCCAUAAGUUGAUGUUAAGAUGCAACUUAAAAAAGAAAUGGUCCCAUAAUUAUACUCUCACUUUUAAAACAGUAUUAGAUGAUAGUUUACAAACAUUUGUAUCUUUUUCUUUUUCAAAAUUAUUGA